rnacentral:rRNA from 1 species
AGUGAACGCUGGCGGUAGGCCUAACACAUGCAAGUCGAACGGUAACACAGUAAGAGUUUCCUCUUACGGGUCGCGAGUGGCAGACGUGUGUAGAAUACGUGGAACUGCACUUUGUCGUGGGGGAAAACGUGGAGAAACUAACUCUAAUACCGUAUCCUACCUACGGGUGAAAGCAGGACAUCAUCGCACCUUGCCCUAGUGAGUGAGCCGAUGUGGGAUUAGCUAGGUGGCGGGGUAAAGGCCCACCAAGGCGACGAUCCGUAGCUGGUCUGAGAGGAUGACCAGCCACACUGGAACUGAGACACGGUCCAGACUCCUACGGGAGGCAGCAGUGGGGAAUAUUGGACAAUGGGCGCAAGCCUGAUGCAGCCAUGCCGCGUGUAUGAAGAAGGCCUUCGGGUUGUAAAGUACUUUUAUUGGGAAGGAAGAGAAGAAGGUUAAUACCUCGGUGUACUGACGGUACCCAAAGAAUAAGCACCGGCUAACUUCGUG